CUUCAUAUAAACAUUUUUUUGGGACUUGAUCAAAACACUCAUCGUAUCUAAAAACAUACCCCCUCUCUGGGUCACGUUAGGAAGUGAAGGGAUGUUAUUCCUUGUGGUUUGGCAUUUUGUUUAUUUUCUUAGAUAAUGUUUCUAUAAAUACAAAGCCUCUGACUUGUUUGCCGGGAGUUACUCGAUAAACAGCCUCACACUAAAAAUAAAAAAGUGGGUGGCAGUAGAAGAAGUCUGAAGAACUGGUUUGAUGAUGAAGAUGAAGGAAAGGCUAAUAGCUAAGUUUACCAUUGCCUUGGACUGAAUUAUCGUUUUCUUUGAUUGUUAAACUUAUAGUGGAUACAUAGCCUAUACCUUUAACCACCACACAGAAACAACUAUAGCUUUGGGGUAACCGAGGGAGUGCUAUCAACCUCCUUUAAUUCGUCCCUGGGGAGUCUGACAAGGCCUCUGCAUCGUGAAAAACAUGCAUGAAACUCCUAACCUCCUUUGUGUCCUUUGGAAGUAUAUGCUGUGAGGGCCGAAAACGUCUGAAAACACUGGUCAUUGUGAGGCAGUAACAAACACCUCUUAUGGAACACUGGCGGAUACAAAAUACAAAAGCAGCAGGUGGUAGUAGACUUUAUUCAUCUAAGGUUAGGUUAGGUCUGGUUAGGCUAGUUUAGGUAAGGUUAGGUUAGGUCUGGUUAGGCUAGUUUAGGUAAGGUUAGGUUAGGUCUGGUUAGGCUAGUUUAGGUAAGGUUGGGUUAGGUCUGGUUAGGCUAGUUUAGGUUAGGUCUGGUUAGGCUAGUUUAGGUAAGGUUAGGUUAGGUCUGGUUAGGCUAGUUUAGGUAAGGUUAGGUUAGGUCUGGUUAGGCUAGUUUAGGUAAGGUUAGGUUUGGUCUGGAUAGGCUAGUUUAGGU